rnacentral:rRNA from 1 species
CAGUCGCCGCGGUAAUACGGAGGGGGCUAGCGUUGUUCGGAAUUACUGGGCGUAAAGCGCACGUAGGCGGCUUGGUAAGUUAGAGGUGAAAGCCUGGAGCUCAACUCCAGAAUUGCCUUUAAGACUGCCGAGCUAGCAGGUGAGAGAGGUAAGUGGAAUUCCGAGUGUAGAGGUGAAAUUCGUAGAUAUUGGGAAGAACACCGGUGGCGAAGGCGGCAACCUGGCUCAUUACUGACGCUGAGGCGCGAAAGCGUGGGGAGCAAACAGGAUUAGAUACCCCGGUAGUCCCUGUCUCUUAUAC